ensembl:misc_RNA 7SK 7SK RNA
GGAUGUGAGGGCGACCUGGCUGCGACAUCUGUCACCCCAUGGAUCGCCAGGGUUGAUUGGGCUGAUCUGGCUGGCUAGGCAGGUGUCCCCUUCCUCCCUCCCUGUUCCAGGCGCGUCCCUCCCGAAGCUGCGUGCUUGGUUGAAGAGAACAAUCAUCUCCGAUAGAGGAGAACUGUUCUUCCGUCAAGGGUAUACAAGUAGCUGCACUCCCCUGCUAGAACCUCCAAACAAGCUCUCAAAGAUGUGAGACACAUUCUUUGGGGGCUUCAAAAGGGAGAGCAAUGGUUUGCAGUAUAAGUGGAGAAGUGGGGGCAGACUGCAGUCUUAGGGGAAGGAAACCACUGUCAUGCUUGCUCC